UUCCUGGAGUUGGGCGGUUUCUGUAGGCACUUUUAUUUCUCCACUUUCAAAAGCUUGGGCUUGGCCCAACUGUGAGGCUGCCCAAUCCUGUUUCUAUUACCAAUUUAAAUGUAUGGCUUGAACCUCUACACUGAAAAACCAAAUCCAU
ensembl:misc_RNA